GACGAACGCUGGCGGCGUGCUUAACACAUGCAAGUCGAACGAAGUGGCGAACGGGUGAGUAACGCGUAAUCAACCUGCCCUUCAGAGGGGGACAACAGUUGGAAACGACUGCUAAUACCGCAUACUGAAGGAGGGGAUUGCGUCUGAUUAGCUAGUUGGAGGGGUAACGGCCCACCAAGGCGAUGAUCAGUAGCCGGUCUUGCAGGGAGUACGGCCACAUUGGGACUGGGAACCUGCCCAGACUCCUACGGGGGGCAGCAGGGGGGAAUCUUCCGCAAUGGGCGAAAGUCUGACGGAGCAACGCCGCGUGAGUGAUAACGGCCCUCGGGUUGUAAAGCUCUGUUAAUCGGGACGCGGUACCGGAAUAGAAAGCCACGGCUAACUACGUGCCAGCAGCCGCGGUAAUUC
rnacentral:rRNA from 1 species